UCAUCGGGAGAAGAGUGGGGAGGUUACCUAUGGGACUGGGCAUCCAGAGCCUAAGCCCUUAGAGAUGAAAGCGGCAGACUACAGCGAUCCGAAGUAUGAUCACUACAACAUGAGAAGCAAAUAUGGUGCUGACAGCGGCUUCAGGUACUGACUGAUGGAAGAGCUCUCGUCAUUGUGCCUACAGCCUUCUUAUCGUCAUGCCUUAGGGUGUCUUUCGACGUCGUCUCUACCCCCAGUGUACUAAAAGCACAAGGAUGCUGCUUAUGGGUCACUGUCUCGCCCUACUCUCCGUCCGCAAGAUGUGGCAGGUAAAGUCAGUCUAGCAAUUUAGGUGGGGGUAGACGUACGUCGUAAGUAGGUAGCAUGUAUCUACUAUGCGAUUUCGGCAAGCCGGAUGUAAUUUUCGCAGAAAGCAACUGUUGACCCCAGAUUUUGGUAUGGUCCAAAACAUAAUUAAGAAGGCCUUAAAUAGAGAAGUGAGUAAGAAUGUUCUGUAUCAUCAGAAGAAGAAACUUUGAUAUUUGGGCCAUAGCCAUCCGAUGUCAUCUCUAAGGCCGAAGUUGUGUU
rnacentral:lncRNA from 1 species